rnacentral:rRNA from 1 species
UACGUAGGGUGCAAGCGUUGUCCGGAAUUAUUGGGCGUAAAGAGCUCGUAGGCGGUUUGUCGCGUCUGCUGUGAAAAUCCAGGGCUUAACCCUGGACCUGCAGUGGGUACGGGCAGACUAGAGUGAUGUAGGGGAGACUGGAAUUCCUGGUGUAGCGGUGAAAUGCGCAGAUAUCAGGAGGAACACCGGUGGCGAAGGCGGGUCUCUGGGCCGAUACUGACGCUGGAGGAGCGAAAGCGUGGGGAGCGAACAGG